GCGGGUGUAGCUCAGUGGUAGAGCGCGACCUUGCCAAGGUCGAUGUCGCGCGUUCGAUCCGCGUCACCCGCU
rnacentral:tRNA from 1 species